rnacentral:rRNA from 1 species
UACGGAGGAUGCAAGCGUUAUCCGGAAUUACUGGGCGUAAAGCGUGCGCAGGCGGUUGUGCAAGACCGAUGUGAAAUCCCCGGGCUUAACCUGGGAAUGGCAUUGGUGACUGCACGGCUAGAGUGUGUCAGAGGGGGGUAGAAUUCCACGUGUAGCAGUGAAAUGCGUAGAGAUGUGGAGGAAUACCGAUGGCGAAGGCAGCCCCCUGGGAUAACACUGACGCUCAUGCACGAAAGCGUGGGGAGCAAACAGG